CCUAGAAGGUGCAUAUGCUUGCGACUUUUAUUGAUAUCUUCUUCUGCGUUGGGAUCACUCGAGAUAUAUUGUGUUAUGAUAAGACUCGUUCAAGCCGCCAUCCUGAACUGUGUAUGAGGGAUUGCAAGAGGGAAAUGUUCUUGGAAACCUCUCCAGUUCCAUGUCCAAAAUCGAAAGGCCCAACAUUCACAGCAUGAUUACAGCGUCUGAUUUUGUUGAUUUCUAAGGGAAUCAAAUUAUGUUCCCUUUGUUCGCCAAUUCCACCCUCGUUUGAUCCAACGACAGAAAGUUUCUAGGCCAAUACAGGCUUUUUGCCAAAAGUUCAUUCUUCUAGUGAUCUGGAAAAUGGCUAAAAAUUGAAGCACCAUGAUGAUCAUCUAGCGAAGCUUACAAAAUGAUGGAUCUACGACAAAAAAAAAAAGAAAAAGACCACUAGAAAUCAAAUGUGAAAUGAUAGGUUGAAUUGAGAACAAGGUAAUCUCUCUCUUUAUGCAAGAAAUUUUUGUUUUACAAUCUGAAGCACAGAGGGAGCAAGUUACAACAAGAUUGAAUUUUUUAUUCCUUCACCUUCCCUUAACAUUGUGCAUUAGCUAAAAGGAAAACAUUAUGCAUCAGCCCAGACAGGUGAGUUAUCAUAUUGCACCUUCAGAAAUGCACAUGCAGGACAGGUCGAAGGCGAUGAUUGGGACGAGAACUCAUAGUGCACGAUGAUUUGAACCCAUGCCUCACAUGUACAUACUCCUGGAGUUUUCAUUGCACCGUCGCUGCAGGUCCAAAUGCAAUCAUGAAAUUUCAUACCACUGUCGCUGCAGGUCCAAAUGCAAUCAUGAAACCUUGUUGACCACGAUUCUUCUGGGGCAGAAAGUUGAUCAUCUACAAAGAUGUUGAGCUCCAUAGGCUACAGCCGAUGCAGCUGUUGUUGAAGCCACCAACCAGCUGCAAAUAAACACACAAGCACAUUUGGUUAUUCUUUCUUGAUGGAAAAGAUGAACAAUAAUAAUUAACAUGGUGAAUGCAUCCGACGGAGCAGCCAGAAAGAUUAUAUUCGGUAUCAUAGGUAUAAAUAUUGUUGCAGGUUGACUUAUUGGAGUGUAUGAGCUAAGAAUUAUACGCAUCCAAGAAUGACAAAUGGUG
rnacentral:lncRNA from 1 species